rnacentral:rRNA from 1 species
GGCCUAACACAUGCAAGUCGAGCGGAAACGACAACAUUGACUCUUCGGAUGAUUUGUUGGGCGUCGAGCGGCGGACGGGUGAGUAAUGCCUAGGAAGUUGCCCGGUAGAGGGGGAUAACCAUUGGAAACGAUGGCUAAUACCGCAUAAUCUCUAUGGAGCAAAGCAGGGGACCUUCGGGCCUUGUGCUACCGGAUACGCCUAGGUGGGAUUAGCUAGUUGGUGAGGUAAUGGCUCACCAAGGCGACGAUCCCUAGCUGGUCUGAGAGGAUGAUCAGCCACACUGGAACUGAGACACGGUCCAGACUCCUACGGGAGGCAGCAGUGGGGAAUAUUGCACAAUGGGCGAAAGCCUGAUGCAGCCAUGCCGCGUGUAUGAAGAAGGCCUUCGGGUUGUAAAGUACUUUCAGUUGUGAGGAAGGGGGUAAGCUUAAUACGCUUAUCUCUUGACGUUAGCAACAGAAGAAGCACCGGCUAACUCCGUGCCAGCAGCC